rfam:Picea glauca, whole genome shotgun sequence.
UUAUGUACACCUACAACGUUAAUGCAAUGGAUCCCAUUAUACCUUUGUAGUUAAGCGUGCUUGGGCUAGAGUAGUACUGGGAUGGGUGACCUCUCGGGAAUUCCUAGUGUUUUACAUGCC